rnacentral:rRNA from 1 species
GACGAACGCUGGCGGCGUGCUUAACACAUACAAGUCGAACGGAAAGGCCCCUUCGGGGGUACUCGAGUGGCGAACAGGUGAGUAACACGUGAGUAACCUGCCCUUGACUUCGGGAUAACUUCAGGAAACUGGGGCUAAUACCGGAUAGGAAUCCUUGCUGCAUGGUGGGGGUUGGAAAGCUUCGGCGGUUUUGGAUGGACUCGCGGCUUAUCAGCUUGUUGGUGGGGUAGUGGCUUACCAAGGCUUUGACGGGUAGCCGGCCUGAGAGGGCGACCGGCCACAUUGGGACUGAGAUACGGCCCAGACUCCUACGGGAGGCAGCAGGGGGGAAUAUUGCACAAUGGGCGGAAGCCGGAUGCAGCAACGCCGCGUGCGGGAUGACGGCCUUCGGGUUGGAAACCGCUUUCAGCAGGGGCGAAGCUUGUGGUGACGGUACCUGCAGAAGAAGCACCGGCUAACUACGUG